UUUACUCCAAAUGCCAUCAAAGCACUUCAUCUUAGGUUUAAUCAUGUUUGGUACAUGAGCCUUGUAUCUUAGCUCUCAUUUUGUUAAUGUUCUAUAAUUAGUUGUUUUUUUUUUUAGGAUAGUUAUCUUUGUUUUAUUGGUGACUGACUUUUGUCUUAUAAAUUCUUUUGGGAUCUCCUUAUGGUUCAAUAUAAACUCAAGUCUUGCAGCAUAUAUAUAGAAAAUUAUCACUAGAGUGUGUACUCUCAACCUUUUUAUUUAAACAUAUUAUUAUGCACAUCAUUGCAUGCUCAUAUAUAUAAGGCACCAAAUGAUAUACACAUACUUUUUUUUGUUUCAAGAAUACACAUAUACUUUUUGAUAGUUGGUUUAACUAGAUUAUUUUGUUAAGGAAAUUUUAUCUUCCUCAUCACUUUUGAAAACAUUAUCUUCCAUGUUGCUCAUGAAAACAUUAUCUUCCUUGUCAUUUUUAGAAACUGCAUCUUCUCCAUCAAUUUUGGAAACUUGAUCUCCCUCAUCAUUUUUGGAAACUUUAUCUUCUUCAUUACUCUUGGAAACUCCAUCUUCUUCACCACUUUUGGAAGCUUUAUAUUCCCUAUCACUUAAGGAAACGUUAUCUUCUUCGUCAAUUUCCGAAAAUUUAUUUCCCUCAUCACAUAAGUGUUUUAGAAAUUUUCUGCUAUUAGGAAUAGUUUCAGCACACUUCUUCUUGAUCAGAUUUCCACGGAAAGUCAUCCAAUCACAUGCUGGAAUCAUCACUUUAUGCAUCUUGCCUACAAUUAUUGAUGAAAGGUAAAAAUGGAGCAUUAUGUCAUAGAAAUAUAAAAUGCAAAAAUAGUGUUAAUGUCUUACCACUAUUUUUAUCAUGGUGAAUCAUUUCAUUAACAGCUUCUACGGUCUCUAGAGCUUCAAAUGGAAUUUCCUUGGGGCCAUUUGGACGUGGAUCGUCUUCAUUAACCACACCUAUUUGUUAAUUUGUAGUUGCUUGUUGAUGUAAAACAAUUUACAAUAAAAUGUAUAUAUAUCAAAAAAAUAACAAUUUGUAGUUGCUUGUUAAUUUGUUAAUCCUCCGUUUUUUUAAGGGAAAUGAGUGUUGGCUAUAUGUAGAUCGGUUGGGAGGUAAGUAAUGUUUAACCAAGAAUUAUUUUAUGCAAAAAUUAAAUUUAAGUUCUUCUAAAAUAUUCGUCCAUGUUGAAACUCAUUGACUACUUGAGUCCAAUUUAUUAGUUAUGUAUAUAUACAAAUUAAUGAUAGACUUGUCUACAUUUCUAAAUGAGCAUUUAUUUUAUUUUUAUUUAAAUGUUGACUAGAAAAUCACACAUAUAUGCGUGACUUAUUGAUUUAUGAGAGUUCGUUUAGAUCAAUGAGGCAAAAUGGUUUCAGCUAAUAUGAUAUCGUUAACUCCAAAUCACCAAGUUUCGAGAUUGGUUCAUCGCGUAAUGGGUUGCAUAAACCUAGUUUACAAUCAUCUCUUUAGCGUAUCUUGUGCUUUGGGAUCUUUUUUUUUAUCUAUUAAAUAAAAUUUUCUUUUUUACUUCUUAAAAAAAUAUAACAAAAUUGUGAUGUUUCUAUGGUUGAGAAAGACACUGUUUUGUUUUCAAUUAUUUAGAGCGCAAAUGCUGAUAGGAAAACUUGCCAGAUUGAAUUUGGGGGUGCAUUGAUAAUGUGGUAGGCCGGAAAAGGAAGGCAUGAAAGAUAAUAAUUAUGCUAACAAAAUACUUUCUCUUAAAAAUCCUGUUCAGCCUAAUGCAACCCCACAAAACUGGUUUGUGAGGUGAAUAUUGUCCCUCACGACCAGCACUAUUGGGCUUGGUUCGUGGGCAUAAAGACAAUUAUUGUUUUGACAUUCAACAUGUCUUAGAAACACAAGUAAAUGACCAAAAAACCUAGCGUCAGUUAACUGCUGCCGGUUUUCUAGCUAUCAAGCCAGCGGUAGUUAACUACCGCUGAGAGUAUUUUCGUACUUUACUUGUGUUUUUAGGAAGUUUUAAAUGUCAAAAAAGCAAUUGUUGGACAUAAAUGAUGGGUAGUCCGAUAGCGGAAACCUGAUAGCAGGUGACCCAAUGGAUCUUGAACCAGGCUCUGAUACCAUCUUAAUCUUAGAAAUCGUGUUUGAGCUUAACACAAUCCUACAAAACCGGCUUGUGAGGUGUGGAUUGCCCCCACUUAUAAUUAUAUUGUCAGACCAUCAGCUAUCCGAUGUGGCACUCUUAAUGCUUUCUAAGACACUAUUUUUAUGAUAGAAAUUCAUGUGGAUCACUCUAAAUAUAUAGGGUUUACAUCAUUUAGCGAAACCGUUUACAUUUUAGUUAAUAGGAGUGUGUUUGAAAGACUGCUAAAAAUGGUAUUGCAAGCACUUUUCAAAAGAUGAUGAACGGGGACAAUAUGAAACAAUCAAAGAGUUCAUAUUUGACUUUUAAAAGCUCAAAGUUACAUUUUGUUUUGAUAGAUAGCUUUUUUAAAAUUUUGUUGUGUCAUAUACACUAAUUUAUUUUAUCAAAAUUAAACUAUACGCUAGAAUGACUCACCAAGAAUAGGAGGUGGAGGCAACGGCGAUUGAGCUAAAACUUGAUAAGAGAGAACAACAAAAAGACCAACAAACACAUACACCUUUGAGUUAGCCAUGCCACUUCUUGGCAACGACAAUGCAAUAAUGUUUGAU
rnacentral:lncRNA from 1 species